rnacentral:rRNA from 1 species
CCCUUAGAUGUUCUGGGCCGCACGCGCGCUACACUGAUGCAUUCAACGAGCCUAUCCUUGACCGACAGGUCCGGGUAAUCUUUGAAUCCGCAUCGUGACGGGGAUAGAUUAUUGCAAUUAUUAAUCUUCAACGAGGAAUGCCUAGUAGGCGCAAGUCAUCAGCUUGCGUCGAUUACGUCCCUGCCCUUUGUACACACCGCCCGUCGCUCCUACCGAUUGGGUGUGCUGGUGAAAUGUUCGGAUCGGCCGUUUGUCGCGGUUUCCGCGUCAUGUGGCUGAGAAGUUCAUUAAACCCUCCCACCUAGAGGAAGGAGAAGCCGUAACA